rnacentral:tRNA from 1 species
UGGUAAUAAGAGGAUUCAACCUCUGUAUUUAGAUUUACAGUCUAAUACCUACUCGGCC